UGGGGAAUUUUGGACAAUGGGCGAAAGCCUGAUCCAGCAAUGCCGCGUGUGUGAAGAAGGCCUUCGGGUUGUAAAGCACUUUUGUCCGGAAAGAAAUCCUCUGGGUUAAUACCUCGGGGGGAUGACGGUACCGGAAGAAUAAGCACCGGCUAACUACGUGCCAGCAGCCGCGGUAAUACGUAGGGUGCAAGCGUUAAUCGGAAUUACUGGGCGUAAAGCGUGCGCAGGCGGUUUUGUAAGACGGAUGUGAAAUCCCCGGGCUUAACCUGGGAACUGCAUUCGUGACUGCAAGGCUAGAGUAUGGCAGAGGGGGGUAGAAUUCCACGUGUAGCAGUGAAAUGCGUAGAGAUGUGGAGGAAUACCGGUGGCGAAGGCAGCCCCCUGGGCCAAUACUGACGCUCAUGCACGAAAGCGUGGGGAGCAAACAGGAUUAGAUACCCUGGUAGUCCACGCCCUAAACGAUGUCAACUAGUUGUUGGGGAUUCAUUUCCUUAGUAACGUAGCUAACGCGUGAAGUUGACCGCCUGGGGAGUACGGUCGCAAGAUUAAAACUUAAAGGAAUUGACGGGGUCAUAGCUGUUUCC
rnacentral:rRNA from 1 species